rnacentral:rRNA from 1 species
UACGUAGGGGGCAAGCGUUGUCCGGAAUCAUUGGGCGUAAAGCGCGUGUAGGCGGUUCGGUAAGUCGGCUGUGAAAGUCCAGGGCUCAACCCUGGGAUGCCGGUGGAUACUGUCGGGCUCGAGUCCGGAAGAGGAGUGUGGAAUUCCAGGUGUAGCGGUGAAAUGCGUAGAUAUCUGGAGGAACACCGGUGGCGAAGGCGGCAUCCUGGACCAACACUGACGCUGAGGAGCGAAAGCCAGGGGAGCAAACGGG